AUGGAGGCUGCUGCUCGGGCAUUGACCCCUGUCCUCCGUAAGCUCGGUGAGCUGCUCGCCAGAGAAUACAACCUGGAGAACCGAGUAAAGAAAGGUGUACAGUCACUCCUUAUAGAGUUGGAGAUGAUGCACGCCGUACUUCGUGAGGUUGGCAAGGUGCCGCCGUAUCAGCUCCAGGAGCCGGUCCGGAUUUGGGCUGGCAAGGUGAGAGACCUGUCUUGUGACAUGGAAGACGCUGUUGACGACUUCCUGGUGCGUGUUGGUGAGGGUUCAGGCAGUAAGCCAACGGACAUGAGGACUCGAGUCAAGAAGUUCCUCAAGAAGACCACCAAACUGUUUGUUAAGGGCAAAGCACUUCAUCAAAUAUGUGAUGCCAUUGAAGAAGCUCAGGAUCUUGCCAAGGAGUUGGUGGACCUACGUAAAAGGUAUGAGCUUGACAUGUGUAGCACUACCAGCGGUGCUACCAUUGACCCUCGUGUGUUAGCUCUACACAAAAAUGUAGAGGAGCUUGUUGGGGUUGACCGCACAAGGGAUGAGCUUAUCAAAACACUGAUUUGUGAGGACGGGAGUCCCAAGGAGCAAUUGAAGACGAUCUCUAUUGUUGGUGUUGGUGGGCUAGGCAAGACAACGCUCACCAAAGCAGUCUAUGAGAAGAUCAAAACCCAAUUUGAUUGUGUGGCUUUUGUCCCCGUGGGUCAGAACCCAGAUAUCAAGAAAGUUUUCAAGGACUUACUCUAUGGCCUUGACACUGAAAAGUUCAGUGACAUUCAUAAUACAACACGGGAUGAAAAUCUACUCAUCAAGCAAAUCAGUGAUUACCUUGUGGAUAAGAGGUACCUCAUCGUAAUCGAUGAUAUAUGGGAAGAACAAAUAUGGAGAUGUAUAAAUUGUGCUUUGUAUAAAAACAAACUUCAUAGUCGGGUAAUCACAACAACCCGCAAUAUGAGUGUGUCUGAAGCAUGUCUCUCUUCCAGUGAUGACAUGAUUCACAAAAUGAAACCUCUUUCCGAUGAAGAGUCGCAGAUACUCUUGCAUAGAAGAAUAUUUCAAAGCGAGGAGAAAUGUCCAGAAGAUUUGCGAGCAGUAUCAAGAGAGAUACUGAAGAAAUGUGGUGGAGUACCAUUAGCCAUCAUUACAAUAGCUAGCCUUGUAACCAAAGGAUAA
rnacentral:rRNA from 1 species